ACAUGUGGAAAAAAAAAUGUUUUGCAGAAAUACAAUAACAACAAUGCACCAAAUACAAAAAGCUCAAGAAGGAAUGUAUUUCUUAUUUGAAACUCUGUCCAUUGUCAACAACAAAUACUACCCAUCUACACCCCUUUAUAUAUAGAUGGGGUUCAAACCCUGUUCUAUGUUAUAAAUUAUGAAUCUUUUUGAAACCAAGAUUUCCAUGUUUGAAGCCAGAUGGGGUCAUCAACCACAAUUCUAAAAGAGUUAAAAUUUGAUUGUCAAAAUCUUCUUCUUUCUUUAAUAAUAUUGACCACCAUGAUAGAAAGCCAAUUGGGUUAUUAAUAAAAAAAAUCGUAAAGAGAAUAAAAAAUACAUUAUCUAACCAAAGUUUGGUUGCAACAAGCCCUUAACAUGACUUUAUACAUGACCUAUUUGUUAAGU
rnacentral:lncRNA from 1 species